rnacentral:rRNA from 1 species
GAUGAACGCUGGCGGCGUGCCUAAUACAUGCAAGUCGAGCGAACAGAUAAGGAGCUUGCUCCUUUGACGUUAGCGGCGGACGGGUGAGUAACACGUGGGUAACCUACCUAUAAGACUGGGAUAACUUCGGGAAACCGGAGCUAAUCCCGGAUAACAUUUGGAACCGCAUGGUUCUAAAGUGAAAGAUGGUUUUGCUAUCACUUAUAGAUGGACCCGCGCCGUAUUAGCUAGUUGGUAAGGUAACGGCUUACCACGGCAACGAUACGUAGCCGACCUGAGAGGGUGAUCGGCCACACUGGAACUGAGACACGGUCCAGACUCCUACGGGAGGCAGCAGUAGGGAAUCUUCCGCAAUGGGCGAAAGCCUGACGGAGCAACGCCGCGUGAGUGAUGAAGGGUUUCGGCUCGUAAAACUCUGUUAUUAGGGAAGAACAAAUGUGUAAGUAACUGUGCACGUCUUGACGGUACCUAAUCAGAAAGCCACGGCUAACUACGUG